rnacentral:rRNA from 1 species
GACGAACGCUGGCGGCGUGCUUAACACAUGCAAGUCGAACGGAAAGGCCCUGCUUUUGUGGGGUGCUCGAGUGGCGAACGGGUGAGUAACACGUGAGUAACCUGCCCUUGACUUUGGAAUAACUUCAGGAAACUGGGGCUAAUACCGGAUAGGAGCUCCUGCUGCAUGGUGGGGGUUGGAAAGUUUCGGCGGUUGGGGAUGGACUCGCGGCUUAUCAGCUUGUUGGUGGGGUAGUGGCUUACCAAGGCUUUGACGGGUAGCCGGCCUGAGAGGGUGACCGGCCACAUUGGGACUGAGAUACGGCCCAGACUCCUACGGGAGGCAGCAGUGGGGAAUAUUGCACAAUGGGCGGAAGCCUGAUGCAGCAACGCCACGUGCGGGAUGACGGCCUUCGGGUUGUAAACCGCUUUCGCCUGUGACGAAGCGUGAGUGACGGUAAUGGGUAAAGAAGCACCGGCUAACUACGUG